rnacentral:tRNA from 2 species
CGCGGGGUGGAGCAGCUUGGUAGCUCGUUGGGCUCAUAACCCAAAGGCCGCAGGUUCGAAUCCUGCCCCCGCUACCA